rnacentral:rRNA from 1 species
GGGGGGGGGGGGGGGGGGGGGGGGGGGGGGGGGGGGGGGGGGGGGGGCGCGGGGGGGGGGGGGUGCUGGGGUGGCGAACGGGUGAGGGGCGGGUGGGUGACGUGCCGUUGAGUUUGGGCGAGGUUCGGGGCAGUGGGGCGAAGACCGGGUAGGGGCUCCUUCUGCAGGGUAGGGGUGGGAAAGUUUCGGCGGGUGGGGCUGGACUCGCGGCUUGGCAGCUUGUUGGUGGGGUAGGGGCUUACCAAGGCGUUGAAGGGUAGCCGGCCUGAGAGGGUUACCGGCCACAUUGGGACUGAGAUCAGGCCCAGACUCCUACGGGAGGCAUCAGUGGGGAAUAUUGCACAAUGGGCGGAAGCCUGAUGCAGCAACGCAGCGUGCGGGAUGACGGCCUUCGGGUUGUAAACCGCUUUCGCCUGUGACGAAGCGUGAGUGCCGGUAAUGGGUAAAGAAGCACCGGAUAAAUACGUG